AGCAGGGACCAAGAUGUGCUUCAUUAACUGUGAACUUCUUACCUCAGAGCAGCGGUCUUUCCAUUUUUGUCUUUCAAGAGUGGCAGAGGAGCUGGAACGGGAAGAGACUGAGGAAUCUUCAGAGGAUGUUGCCCACCUUCCACCAACACAGAUACACAUAGCUAUCUCUACUGCAGGCCCCAACAAGAAGCACGCAAAAUUAACAAGUGGAUUGGCCUGGUGAAAAAUGCUUCGCUCAUUCCUGCACCAAUACCCAGCACCCUGUACUUGGUAACAAUCCAAACAAAAUGAAAUCUAUGUACCUAGACAUAAUCAUCUUUAGAGACCAUUACUAGAUUAAGCCUGGGAUAAAAACUAGCAUGCAUUUACCAAAAUUCAAGGGAGCCAAU